UUAUUCAUAUAAAAAGAAGGAAAGGUGUUAUCAAGGGAUAUUUUUGAAGAGGGACGAAGGAUUAAAUAAGGAGAAGACGUGAACACAGAAAGAAAAGGAAAGACCUCGAGAAAGCUCUCUAGCAGUCAUGACGAUGCGUGAUGCAAUUACACAGUCUGCUUCCUUCGAAAAGGAACGCCUGAUCGAGCGAUUGUCACUUCGGGGAAAACACGAAGCGAAUCCAAGGAGGAAUUCAAAGAUAAAGAUUUGUAGGCAUAUACAAACAACGGGAAGGGACAUCAAUAUUAAUCCUUUCAGUUGGAAUGACGUCUUCAAGAUGCUUGAGAGAGAUUUAAGUUAGAAAAAUCACGUAACAUUUGUCUAGAUUCUUGCUCUUGAAAAAUAUGAAAGUUAACUUGGUAAAAGUUUGUUAUCUCUAAAUAGACUAGUAUAUCUCUCUCAGAGAGCCAUUUAUUAAAUAACAAUGUAACUUAUCUAAUUAUGAAACGUGUGAUUUUAGAUAUAGACAUGAUAAUGAAUGAUCAUUAGAAUCGAUUGGUACAAUGUC